CCGAAGGACCCUCUAGGCGUCAGAAGCUCUUUGCACACAGUAUGGUGGAGGAGUUUUGGGGACGUGUUUUGACUGGAGUCGUCUUCUUCAGUGUGUUGACCGGCAGCUGUUCCAAGGCCUGUUUUUCCCCACAUCUGGGAUGCUGAGCAAAAAAAACAA